rnacentral:rRNA from 1 species
UUCGCCUACGGGACGCAGCAGUGGGGGAUAUUGCACAAUGGGGGGAACCCUGAUGCAGCGACGCCGCGUGGGCGAUGGAGUACUUCGGUAUGUAAAGCCCUAUCAGCAGGGAAGAAAAUGACGGUACCUGACUAAGAAGCCCCGGCUAAAUACGUGCCAGCAGCCGCGGUAAUACGUAUGGGGCAAGCGUUGUCCGGAUUUAUUGGGCGUAAAGCGAGUGCAGGCGGUUCAAUAAGUCUGUUUUGAAAGCCUU